AGAUUACUUUGUCAGUAACUGAUUCCAAAGUCAAGAAUAAACUUUGAAUCUGAGCCUCUAAGUGUUAAAAAUGUAACGCAUCACUGCACUCACUCACGCGCUGAUUUCCUUUGAUUGUAAGUGAUGAGUUUAACCACCAAGAACAAAACACAAGUUCAAGAUGUGUAAAAAUGGAAAACAAAAAAGGGAAGAAGUUGCUUAAGUCACUAAAACAGUGGAGAAGAAACAAGUCAGAAAGAAAGAGACUGAAAGAAGGAGAGAAACAAAGUGGAAAGCAGCUAUUCUUAGACAACGUUUUGUAUUAUUGACAAUCUCUCUGGCUGCAGAGUGUGUGUGUGUGUGUGUCCUCUAACUCAAAGCCAGGGCUAAAUACAGUACAGCCAUCUGAUAUUGACUUUGAUAACAGUCCUCCACCACUAGAAAACAGCUAGCCAUGUAUGCAGUGUUGCUGAUAGUCUCUCCACACACACACACACACACCACACACACACACACACACACACACACACACACACACACACACACACACACACACACAGCUUUGAUACACAGACACAAACAAACACACUGGCCUGCAGAUUCCCAAUGAAAAAAAAAAAAAAAAAAAUCAAACUGUAACACUGAUGUCACUUUUUCCUGAUCUCUGUUCAGAGAGCAUGACUUUGCUAAGAGCCCAAAUUAAGCAAUUAAGUCAUUUUUACCCACCUAGAAAGUGAGCACCCCACAAGACUUAUGAAAAACCACGCCAGAUCUUUACACAAAUCACAUUUCAAUUUGCCUCUUGCCUCAAAAAACAUUUUUAAAAAUAUGUAAACAAACCGGGAUUGGUCCUGUUUUUCCUCAGCUGCCAAAUACUGUGACUCAAAUUAAGCUUGAAGCUACACAACAGCAUUUAUAGCUGCAACAAGUGUGUGUGUGUGUGUGUGUGUGUGUGUGUGCGUGUGUAAGAUCUGGUAGAGAUAACUGGGGCUAUUGAUGGCAUUGAUGUAAGUGAGACAACAAACACACACACGCAUAAACACACAGUCUUGUGGUCUUGAUCAGAGGUGGGAAAACACGCUCACUCUUUUCUUUGCUUGCUCUCUCUCUCUCUCUCUUUCUCAGGAAAUGGGUUAUCUACACACAGGAUCAAGGCUCAGGAUACAAAGCCAGAUCUGCUGUUCAUGAAUUUGUCAGUGUAAGUGUGUGUGUGUGUGUGUGUGUGUGUGUGUGUGUGACAUGGGAGGGGGGAAAGGGACAGUAUGAGGCAGACAGUAUUACUGACAAAUUUGGCUAAAUGAGACUCUCAAGCUUCUUCAUGCAUUGUGGAAACGAAACAGAUCUGGAGUGGCAGCGAGUGCGCUGGUGUUGUUGGCACAAACUGCAGUAUUCAACAGCGGCCUUGGAACCUGCCAAUUUGGAAUAUAUAUUUGGAAUAUACUGCGUUUGGUGGGUGAAUGAAUGUGUGUGUAUGUUUUUGCGUAUCUGGGCUGAAAUUCAACCCUAAAUAGACAUUUUUUAAAGUGAAGAUCCUCCUGCAAAAGUCUUAGAUUUCAGCUCCAAACCUCAGUCUUGUCCUCACUUGUCCAUUAAUGUGUCUCUCAGAAUGACAUGUGCAACACAUGUAAAGGAUGAUACCGUAUAUAUCUAGGCUCAGUGCUUGUGAUCCAAAGACAUUAUCUGUAUGUUGUUUAUGGAAAUAUGAACCAGUUUGCCAUGCAAAGUAUAUAUUUGUAUGUGGGCAGAUGAUGAAAAGCCUUUGUGUGUGUGUGUGUACAGUAUGUAAACAGGGGUAUUAAACAUCUGUGCAAAUGUACAUUUAUGUGCAUGAGCAUGUGCCUUCA